CUCCCUCCCAGGGCUUCCUCCCCCAGGAGGGAUAGCAGGAAGGCAGGCAAGGACAGGACCUGAGUCCACACCUCGUCCGCGGUCACCUGCCUGACCAGGAGGAAGGGGAGGGGACAGGAGUGAUUCCACGGAGGUCACCUGGGAGCUGGGGCUGGGCGACCCCAGGGCUGGAUGACCUCAGGGCUGGGUGACCUCAGGGCUGGGUGAUCUCAGGGCUGGGUGACUUCAAGGCUGGGUGACCUCAGGGCUGGAUGACCUCAGGGCUGGGUGACCCCAGGGCUGACUAUUGGCGGAGCACCUGGGGUGGGUGCCAUGGGCACCUGAGAGGGAACUUUGACCUGAGCGGAGGUCAGAACCCUCCUCUGAGGAAGUGCCCCACCCCACUGAGCUCCCAGAGGCUGGUGGCAGGUUGAACAGGGGACUAUGCCAGCAGAGGGACUGCCUUCCAGAGACUUUGGAUCAUCACCACGAUGGGUUGAUUUUACAAAUUUAGCCACUGUCACCGGAGGCCUGGCUGAACUUCAGAGUUUCUUCUCCAGCGUCGGUUUCUUGAUUGCCUAAAGUUCCUUCCAGUCUAAUACUCUGGGAUUCUGGGCCAGUUUCUGGUCUGUCACAGCUGAAUAAGAGUGCAAGGGCAGGAGUGGAAUGUUCAGACUGCUCCAAGAGGACCUUGGCCCAGAUUCGGGCACACUCUGGUGUAACCUGCUUCGCUCGUUCGCGGGAUGGGUGGUGAGCAUGGAGCCCAUUUUCCCAUGUGGCAUUUCAGCAACAGGACUUGGCUAUUUGAAACUCCCCAGACAUAGCAGGAUUUAAAAAACGGAUCCCCUCUGGCUGGGCAUUUAGGUUGCUUUCACUUCUGGGCUGCUAUAAACAGCCUGCAGUUACUGCCUCAGGACGCCUUUCUGGAAGGUGAGUUUCUUGGCCAGGGGAUAUCGCACAUGCACUUUGGAGCCUCUGAGCCUUUGCACAGGCUGGUCCCUUUGCCUGGCUGCCCCUCUCCCAUUUAUCCCUAGAUUCUUCUGCAGCACACACACUGCCUCCUCUGAAGUGUCCUGGCUGCAUGUGCUGCUCUCCUUGCCCUGGGCUGCCCUCUUCUCCCUGGUGUCAUGAGUAUCUGCUGACCUUCUGCUUCUCCCAUGACAGAGUGCCUUCCUUCUCUUCCUUCUCUGCCUUGGCCUCCAGCACGUAGUAGGCGCCUAGGAAAUGUUUUCCAGCAGAACGAGCCAUCUCCUGGCUGGUUUAGCAGUGUGGGAUUGUGUGGUG
rnacentral:lncRNA from 1 species